ensembl:lncRNA
ACAAUUUUUUCCAAGACUGGGAUUCUCAACCCUUGAAAUUUUACAAUUUAUUCCAGGACUGGGAUCCUCAAAACUCAAAAAUGCACAAUUUUUUCCAAGCCUGUGAUCCUCAACCCUAAAAAUUGUAGAGUUUUUUCCCAAACUUGUGAUCCUCAACCCUAAAAAUGGUACAAUUUAUUCCAAGCCUGGGAUCCUCAACCCUCGAAAUUCUACAGUUUUUUCCCAAGACUGGGAUCCUCAACGCUUAAAAUUUUACAAUUUAUUCCAAGACUGGGAUCCUCAAAACUCGAAAAUGUACAAUUUAUUCCGAGCCUGUGAUCCUCAACCCUCAAAAUUUUACAAUUUUUUCCAUGACUGGGAUCCUCAAACCUCAAAAUUGUACAGUUUUUCCCAAGACUGGGAUCCUCACCCCUCAUAUCCUGGAUUAUUUCCCCUCAUUUCCUGGAUAUUUCCCCUCUUUUCCUGUGUAAUUUCCCCCCUUUUUCCUGGAUGAUUUCACAGCAUUUCCUCCAUGAUUCUCCUUCAUUUCCUGGGUGAUUUUUCCCCUUUUCCUGGGUGAUUUCUCAUUAUUUCCUGGAUUAUUUCCCCUCAUUUCCUGGUUGAUUUCCUCUCAUUUCCUGGGUGAUUUUCCCCCUUUUCCUGCAAGAUUUUCCUUCAUUUCCUGGAUGAUUUCCUCCCUUUUCCUGGAUGUUUUCCUGUAAUUUCCUGGGUGAUUUCCUCUCAUUUCCUGGGUGAUUUUCCCCCUUUUCCUGGAUGAUUUUCCAUGAUUUCCUGGAUGAUUCCCCAUUAUUUCCUGGAUGAUUUCUCCUCUUUUCCUGUGCAAUUUUCCCUCUUCUCCUGGAUGAUAACCCCUGAUUUCCUGGAUGAUUUAUUCUUAUUCUUAUUCUUAUUCUUAUUCUUAUUCUUAUUCUUUAAUUCUUAUUCUUUUAUUCUUUUAUUCUUAUUCUCUUAUUCUUUUAUUUUUAUUCUCUAGUUCUCAUUGUCACUCACAGGUACGGGUGUCAGGCUGUGUCUGACUCUGUCAUUGCUGUUCUGCUCAUGCAUUUUUUAUUUUAUCUUUUUAUUUUCUUCCCCAAUACAGAACUGUUAUUCCUGCUCCAUUUUUACCCGAGAGCCGCCCUUAAUUUCAAAUUUGUAACAAAAAUUCCAUAUUUUCCAUUUCAGGGGAGGCUCCUGCCUUCCUCAGCAGAAACCUGUUGCAUGAUUUUUAAAAUAUUGCGUUUUCUUUUCCAGUUCUUUUAAAAGUUUUAAAGUUCUCAUAAAACCUUUUCAGCCUUCUGACCUGUUUGUGUAUUUCUACUGGAGACUUCACGCACUGAUCACGUAAAUAAUGAUUGUUUUAAAAAUUAUUGUUUUAAAUCAUGAUUGUUUCAAUCAAAUAAUGAUUGGUUUAAAUAAUGAUUGUUUUAAAAAAUAAUUAUUUUAAGUAAUGAUUGUUUUAAAUCAUAAUUGUUUAAAAUGAUGAUUGUUUUAAAUAAUGAUUGUUUUGAUCAAAUAAUGAUUGUUUUGAUCAAAUAAUGAUUGUUUUAAAUAAUAAUUGUUUCAAAUAAUGAUUGCUUUAAAUAAUGACUGUUUUAAAUAAUGAUUGUGGAUAUUUGGGAUAUUUUUUCCUAAUAUCCAACCUAUAAGUUGGAUAUUUUUUCGUGAUAUCCAACCUAUAUAU